GGGGGUAUAGCUCAGCUGGGAGAGCGGCGGCUUUGCAAGCCGUAGGUCAUCGGUUCGAUCCCGUUUACCUCCACCA
rnacentral:tRNA from 1 species